AUAGGGUACAUGGGUAGGAGGAA
rnacentral:piRNA from 1 species